UACAGCCCAAGAUUUCGGGCUUAUAGAAAAACGAGCUUAUAGGCGUUUUUCCACAAACGCGGUUGCUAUAUGCGUGAUCGCAACAACUUUUUCCCGCCCGCUCGCUUCUCAACAACUUUUCUGGCGCCAGUUCUGCGUUUUGCUGCUCGCCCUCGCGCCUUUUUCAUUGCUUAUAUACAGGCCCCAUCGCUAAUAAAACUGGCUGGCCGUCAAUUCCAUUCACAUGCGCUGGCUGGGAGACGCUGGCGCUGGUUCUCAGCGGCUUCUUCAUCAGGCGGUUCUCAUCAUCUUCCCAUCUUCAAUCAAGUUGCACGACCCUGGUAAGAUCAAUCAUCCUGUCAAUAUAAGUUGUAGUCGAUGUACAUAUUUCAUGAUAUUGUCCAUUGAUCAAUCAUCCAGAUCAACAAAUUAGUCCAUAUAAGUUGUAGAUGUACAAAUUUCAUGGUAUUGUUCAUCAAUCAAUCAUCUUGAUCAACAAAUUGGUCCAUAUGAGUUGUAGAUGUACAGAGUUCAUGGUAAUGUUCAUCGAUCAAUCAUCCUGAUCAACAAAUUCGUACGUAUAAGUUGUAGAUCUACAAAUUCAUGGUAUUGUUCAUCGAUUCAUUUUUUGGUAAUGAAGCUCAUUUUGCAGAAAGAAAAAAAACUCCGGUAAUCUGAGAUAGCCAAUUCGUAGAUGAAACUAGAACCACCAACUUGGCAAUUUGUCCCCUCCUCUCUCAAAUUGGAAACACGGAAACACACCUCUGUUUGAUUAUAAAAGAAACCCACUACACUAGUUACUUGCUGCUGUACAUGGAAACCAGGUAAACGCCAGAUAUGAAAAAAGAGUAAAUGGCACGCUAACUCUAAUUAUAUAUUUAUAUGGUAUUAAUAGGCAGUAGGCCAAUCUGAACUGCGCGAUAUAAGUAUGUAUGUUUGUGUUGUAGUCUAAAUUGUAUACACAUGUAUCAUAGUCUAGUAUGUAGGCCAAUCGUGUACUCCUGGAUAUAAGGGGCCCUCAAAUUUAAAUUCAACAUGCACAUGCAGCUUUACCUCUAUAAAAACAAAUGGUAAGCCAACAGUAGAUCACUGAAAUACAAGCCAUCAGUUCCUUUGUCGACCUGCAUUGUGAAAAGAACAUAGGAAUACACGUAGAAAUCAAACAAUUAGUAGUAAGUGUUGUCAUAGGUAAAACAUUAAAGAUUAGCUCAGUCCUAGACCCCCAUUGGUCUACUGCAAUCAGAAGAAUACACGCCAAGAGAUCACAUGAAUGCAG
rnacentral:lncRNA from 1 species